rnacentral:tRNA from 1 species
GCCGCCGUAGCUCAGCCGGCAGAGCGCCGCCCUGGUAAGGCGGAGGCCCCGGGUUCGAAUCCCGGCGGCGGCUCCA